GUAAGGUAGACUGCCAAGCAUAAGUACCGAUCAUGCCCGCAUGAGGAGGUACUUAUAUUUGGCAGUCAGGAAACAUGAGAAAGGAGCGAUUUUCAAAGAAAAUCAGCGGAUUUCGAAUGCUUUCAGGAUUGCGGGAGUACGAAGUACGGAGCAAUCCGUACCUUAC
rfam:Firmicutes bacterium CAG:95 genomic scaffold, scf184